GUGAAUCAUCAAAUUUUUGAACGCAAAUUGCACUCUCUUCGAAGAGUAUGCCUGUUUGAGGUUCAGCCUAAAAAAAAAUCGACAUAGUCUCUGUUUCGCGGUGACUUUCUUCUUACAUUGUUUCAUCUUACACCUUUGUGAUUUAAUCUGCUUAAAAUUUUCUUAACGAUUCCACUAACGUUUCUAAGAUUUACUUCUUAUACAUUUAAGGUAUCGAUCUUUAUUAGACGUGGCCUUUGCAUCGGAUCUCGUCCCUACAUAUUUCUUUAACUGACCUC
rnacentral:misc_RNA from 1 species